AACAAACACUUCGCUAUGAUGCGAAGCUAGCUCUUGCUGGUAGACUUCAUAUGGUAACUCACAUAAAUUGCUAAAAUUAUUUAGUUAACGCUACCAGUUAAAAACUAGUAUCGUGUCUAAGUUAAUAGGACAAUUAAACCUAAGGUAACACCAGCAACACCAAUGAAUUAUAUUGUACUACGAGCUAGGAAACUAGGCCACAGAUACAGCAAAUUAGAAGUGACUAACGAGGGUGCCAGCAGUCGCGGUUAAACCACAGCUUCAAGUUAAUUUCCAAAUAUACCAUAAUCCAUCUUACCCAAAUGGCAACGAACUCAGCUCAUGGAAGUAAAAUUCUAUUUCUGACGUAUAACCAAAUCUGCCAUACCACUAAAUGUAUUAACAAACCACACCAACAAGACACGGAUUAGAUACCCGUCUAUUGAGUGGCUCAACCCAACAAAUACUAAAAACGAAAGUUUCAAACUUAAAUAGCGUGGCGGUAUUCUACACCCUAUUAGGGGAUCCUGUGACUUAAUUCGAUAAUCCACGACAUAUCCAAGCUUUGUUAGUCCAACAGCUUAUGUAUGGCCGUCUUGAGUCUGCAUUCCAACAGGACAAAAGGAGACAUCUAAGAUACACACAUAUCUUACCAAUACAGGUGACAUAUAGCCAAUACAACGCAGUUCAUGGGAUACAAAUGAAUAAACCAACCGAAAUAAUAAGUAAUCUUUUAUCAUAAAGGGAGGACUUAAAAGUAAGACUGUACCACUAUUGCAGCCUGAAUAAGACAUAGAAUGCGCACAAAUCGCCCGUCACUCCCGGUAACUUAAGCCGGGAUAAGUCGUAACACAGUAGAGGUAGCGGAAGCUGCCCCUAUACA
rnacentral:rRNA from 1 species